rnacentral:lncRNA from 1 species
GCUUGGGCAAGGUUUGAUGAAGUUUUGAUCACAUUGCUUCUUUAUUUAUAGCCAAUGCAUAUGCUUUUCACACACUUUCUUUCACAUGUCCAAAAUUAGCAACUUCCUUCAUGAGCUUGCAUGGGCGUGUACAAAGCCCAACGAAUGAUUGGCAAAGGUCCAAAAGUUUGCACAUGUCAUGCUGAAGGUGUUGCAUUAAGCCAUGCAUUGUUGAAUUGAAUUGGAUCAUGAGAUUCUUCCAAA